CACGCCGUAAACGAUGGAUACUAGCUGUUGGGAGCGAUCUCAGUGGCUAAGCGAAAGUGAUAAGUAUCCCACCUGGGGAGUACGUUCGCAAGAAUGAAACUCAAAGGAAUUGACGGGGGCCCGCACAAGCGGUGGAGCAUGUGGUUUAAUUCGAUGAUACGCGAGGAACCUUACCAAGGCUUAAAUGUAGAUUGACCGGUUUGGAAACAGACUUUUCGCAAGACAAUUUACAAGGUGC
rnacentral:rRNA from 1 species